rnacentral:tRNA from 1 species
AUAGCUCAGUGGUAUAAGCAUCUGCCUGGCAAGCACAAGGUCCUGAGUUCAAUUCCCAGU